ACUUUUGAUAUAAGCGCUAUGGUUAAUGAAAUAAAUAAAAAAUAAUUUGUGGUUGGUGGGUGUCGAACCAUUGACCCAUUGGUUGAUGAAUAAAAAAAGGAAAUAGAGAUAAAAAUUAAAAAACUAAAAACAUUCCCCAUUGUUCUUCUACUCACCUACAUAGUUCCUUCUACCCUUCUCCAUAGUCCCAUCGCUCCUCUUCUCCAUUGUUCCUCCACUCUCACAGCAAAAUCUCAUCAAACCCUAAAUCGUUACACUCUUGUUUAACCUCCAUCUCCGUUGAACCCUAAAUCUCGUGAUUUCUCUCUCAAACCAACACCUCACUAUCGAACCCUAAUUUCUUGCUCUCAACAUCUUUGUUGUUCUCACCUCCUUCUUAUACUUCUUUUAUGUGUGUUUCAGGUUAUUGCAAGAAAGGUCGAGAAUCAAUAUACCUCGAAGGGAAAUUCUCAAUGUAACAACCGUUAUAUCUCCACAUUUUCUAUACUUUUCGCCCCUGGACCUGUACAAGGAUAUACUAGUUGGUGCAUUUGAAAGGGUUAUUAUGGUGUGACUUUGAAAUUGAAAUAUAGGCCAUUGUAAUAAGCUUACAUUGUUCCUCGAAACCUAUUGGACCAUAUGUAUGGAGGACAUAUAAGAAAGCUUUUGACGAAGUUUUGCAAAUCUAUUCUGCUAUAAGAGCUUCUGGUGUUGAACAUAUAUUUAGCUGACGGUUUUAGCCCUUGAUGUUGGAUCACUUGUAAGUCCCCUGGCAGGGUGUUUUUCUGGUGGUGUUUGCGGCUGCUUUUGUCCUCUUGCUAUGUGCGGCGGCUUUGCGUUUUUGCUGUUAGUUAUGUUGAGUUGUAAUGUCGUGUAUAUAUAGAUAGGAUCGAUCAUUAUAUAUUGUUUAUGAAUUGUUUAUGAGAUGUGUAUAACUAGUUUUUGGAUCAAUACAAAUGAUUG